ACAAGUAUAAGAGGUACUGCCUGCCCAGUGACAUUGUUUAACGGCCGCGGUAUUAUGACCGUGCAAAGGUAGCGUAAUCACUUGUCUUUUAAAUAAAGACUAGUAUGAAUGGCAAAACGAGGGCUCAACUGUCUCUUUAAAUUAAUCAGUGAAAUUGAUCUUCCCGUGCAGAAGCGGGAAUAAACAUAUAAGACGAGAAGACCCUGUGGAGCUUUAAACUAAAAUUAAUUAUAUUAUAUUUAAUCCAAUAGGAAAACUUUUAAAAAAAUAAAAAUAAUUUAUGUUUUUGGUUGGGGCGACCAUGGAAGAAAAAAAAUCUUCCGAGAUAAAACAUUAAGAGAUACCACUCUAAUAAUAAAACAUUUAUAAUUGAUCCAAUAUUUGAUCAACGAACCAAGUUACCCCAGGGAUAACAGCGCAAUCCUUUCCUAGAGUCCAUAUCGACGAAUGGGUUUACGACCUCGAUGUUGGAUCAGGACACCCUAAUGGNGCAGCCGCUAUUAAUGGUUCGUUUGUUCAACGAUUAAAGUCCU
rnacentral:rRNA from 1 species